GGAACGGGCCUUUCAGGCAUCCUCUCCUAAAAACUUUCACGGCUGGUCUUCGGACCAGCCUUUUUUUUGGCUAUG
rnacentral:sRNA from 1 species